rnacentral:rRNA from 1 species
CAUAUGCUUGUCUCAAAGAUUAAGCCAUGCAUGUCUAAGUAUAAUUACUAUAUUAUCGUAAGAAACUGCGAAUGGCUCAUUAAAUCAGUCAUAGUUUAUUUGAUAGUGAACUGCUACAUGGAUAACCGUGGUAAUUCUAGAGCUAAUACACGCUAAAAUACGGGACGCAAGAACCGUUGUGCUUAUUAGAUAAAAAACCAAACCUCAUUGAGGCUUGCGAUGAAUCAUGAUAAUUGUCGAAUCGUAUGGCCCAGAGCCGACGAUGAUUCAUUCAAAUUUCUGCCCUAUCACUCUAUUGUUGGUAAGAUAGAGGCUUACCAAGGAUGCGACGGGUAACGGAGAAUUAGAGUUUGAUUCCGGAGAGGGAGCCUGAGAGACGGCUACCACAUCUAAGGAAGGCAGCAGGCGCGCAAAUUACCCAAUUCCGACACGGAGAGGUAGUGACAAAAAAUAACAAGGCGGGGCAUUGCCUCGCCAUUGGAAUGAGAACAAUCUAAAACACUUAUCGAGGAUCUAUUGGAGGGCAAGUCUGGUGCCAGCAGCCGCGGUAAUUCCAGCUCCAAUAGCGUAUAUUAAAGUUGUUGCAGUUAAAAAGCUCGUAGUUGGACUUGGGAGCUCCGGACGGGGCGGGUCGAAAGGCUCGUAUUCCUGCUCUGGGGCUCUUCCUUUCAGGGUACUUGUGUGUGCUUAACCGCACGGGCAAGGAACUUGGAUUAUUUACUUUGAGAAAAUUAUGGUGUUCAAAGCAGGCUUUUGCCUUGAGUAUAUUAGCAUGGAAUAAUAGAAUAGGACGUUGGUUUUUCUAUUUUGUUGGUUUCUAGGACCGAUGUAAUGAUUAAUAGGGAUAGUUGGGGGCAUUAAUAUUUAAUUGCUAGAGGUGAAAUUCUUGGAUUUAUGAAAGAUUAACUUUUGCGAAAGCAUCUGCCAAGGAUGUUUUCAUUAAUCAAGAACGAAAGUUAGGGGAUCGAAGACGAUCAGAUACCGUCGUAGUCUUAACCAUAAACUAUGCCGACUAGGGAUUGGUGGAAUGUUUUAAAACGCCAUCAGCACCUUUCGAGAAAUCAAAGUUUUUGGGUUCCGGGGGGAGUAUGGUCGCAAGGCUGAAACUUAAAGGAAUUGACGGAAGGGCACCACCAGGAGUGGAGCUUGCGGCUUAAUUUGACUCAACACGGGAAAACUCACCAGGUCCAGACAUAUGAAGGAUUGACAGAUUGAGAGCUCUUUCUUGAUUCUAUGGGUGGUGGUGCAUGGCCGUUCUUAGUUGGUGGAGUGAUCUGUCUGGUUAAUUCCGAUAACGAACGAGACCUUAACCUACUAAAUAGUCAUUUGAAUCACUGAUUCAAAGAUGUACUUCUUAGAGGGACUAGCUGCAUCCAGCAGCUGGAAGUUUGAGGCAAUAACAGGUCUGUGAUGCCCUUAGAUGUCCUGGGCCGCACGCGUGCUACACUGACGAAUUCAACGAGUUGCAUACCUUUGUCGAAAGGCAAUUUGGGUAAUCUUUGAAAUUUCGUCGUGCUGGGGAUAGAUUAUUGCAAUUGUUAAUCUUGAACGAGGAAUUCCUAGUAAGUGCGACUCAACAAGUCGCGUUGAUUACGUCCCUGCCCUUUGUACACACCGCCCGUCGCUCCUACCGAUGGAUGGUCAGGUGAGCUCCGCGGACGGGAACUCGUGAUGCCGCAAGGUUGAUGAGCAUUCUGGAAGUGGAGCAAACCUUAUUAUCUAGAGGAAAGAAAAGUCGUAACAAGGUAUCCGUAGGUGAACCUGCGGAUGGAUCAUUA